rnacentral:lncRNA from 1 species
UUCGACUCAACAUCCUAUAUAUUAAACCAUAGUGUAUCUGUUAAUCAAUGUAUAAGCGAGAAUGGAAAGUAAUAAAACAUAUAAUACUUUUUGGUCAAUAAAAACUUGAUGAUUUUUAUAUUCUUCUUCUGCAAUUGUCUCUAAUUUUGGAGCACUAGAAAGCCUACGAGGAGAAAUAAAGCGUGCUGGUGCAACUUCUACAAUAUUAUUCAUGUAUCUCCUUGCCAUGCACUUGUCUUAAUUAAUUUCUUGUUUAAACAAGAAAUUAAACUCUUGUUGGAUUUUUUUUUUUGGAGGAAUAUAGAAGGUAAUU